rnacentral:rRNA from 1 species
UACGGGGGGUGCAAGCGUUGUUCGGAAUCAUUGGGCGUAAAGAGCGUGUAGGCGGCUUGGUAAGUCAGAUGUGAAAGCCCUGGGCUCAACCCGGGAAGUGCAUUUGAAACUGCCAGGCUCGAGUAGGGGAGAGGGAAGUGGAAUUCCUGGUGUAGCGGUGAAAUGCGUAGAUAUCUGGAGGAACACCGGUGGCGAAAGCGGCUUUCUGGCACGAUACUGACGCUGAGACGCGAAAGCGUGGGUAGCAAACAGG